GUGCCCGUAGUUCAGUCGGUUAGAGCGUCAGAUUGUGGUUCUGAAUGUCGUGGGUUCGAGUCCCACCUGGCACCCCA
rnacentral:tRNA from 1 species